CCCAACAUAAUAUUUCUAUCUUUGUAAGGAUAUUCUAAAACUUUUUCAUUUUUCAUCUUUGUCAUGGCUUCCGUAACAGUGGAAUUGGACGAUGGCGUUGCAAAAGAAUCAAUGAAAGUAAAAACGGAAUUCAAACUGAACCCUACAAUGAUUCCAAGAAAUACAGCCCAUGAUAGCAAAACAUACAAUGGAUAUAAAGUAAUUCCGACCAUUAAAAUGAAUCUUGCAGGCGCACGAAUAAAGUACCAAUACACGCUUUGAACCAAAAGAAUAGCAGGAUCAGCAAGGAUCCAUAAAAAUAGGCUCACAAUUCGUAAAAUAAAUAUUACAACUGUUCUUAUUGUGAGAAAACCUGGAAGUAGUACAUUACCAAAGACCUUCAAGCUAACGUUCCAGGAAAUGACAGCGCUCACAUAUAGGAUGGUAGAUAGAAUUUUAAGGCUUCUUAAUAAGUAAUUGAGCACUACAGCUCUGACUACAGUCCAUAUAGUUUCAAAGCCCUCAAUAAACGAGAGAUCCAU